GUUCGCUACAACGAGAACAUGGGAUAAGAAAACAGUCGUCUUAUGAGAAAAAAUACGUCCGAAAGAAGUGAUCACUUAUUUGCAGACUGUCGCCAGAGAAUCAAUAACAGGACGCAAAUGAGAAUGAAGAAUCAAAGAGAAAUAGAAAUGAGGACGAUCGAAGGUAGAAAAUCGUUUGUGGGAUCGGUGAAUUGUGAAAUGUGUUUUCUUGAAUAAUGGCAGAAAAAAAUUGGAGAACAAAAACUUUAGAAAGAAACAAGUGCAGGGGUGCUACGAGAGUUGCAGGUUGGUGGUCGUGCUGGUGCAAUUUAUACAGCUCGACAAUAGAAAAACUACAACCCCUUUACGUUAGACCUCAGCGGGCAAAUUCACUCUGUGCCGAGGAAUGAGAACUACGUGGGAUGAUAGGGGAUGAAUCCUUUUUAUUGUAAUACCGUCGGGCUUACUUAGUCUCAGCAUACUACGAAACGUCCGAACGAGAAUUCCCAAAACUCGGUUAGUUAACUCCAUUGGGAAGUUAGAAUGAAAUUGUCGUCGUGCAGCGAAAAUGGGGAUGAGAAAAAAGAGGGUGAAAAUUGAAAAAAAAAGUAUCGUCUGUUAAAAGGUCUGCAAAGGUUAUACUUUGUUUGACCUUGCCACCCCUUAUCUACCCCUCUUCGUCAUUUUACCCUCCCAUCCUUUAAUCAUUUUAGGCUAUUCUGUAUGCGUUAAUCCUAUACAGUCUAAUAGUUGCCAUGGUAACUAUUGUAACUGCGGGUAAUAAGUGUUCGGUAAAUUGUUUAUGUUCGGGGGGGAUUUCCCCUUACGGGUGGGUUCUGGGAAAAUGCUUUGAAUAUUGAAAGAAAACAAAUGUAUAUAUAGGCUAAAGUUUAUAUUUCGUAUCAUUCUAAUAAAAAAUUUUGAAAUGCCUCCCAAGUCGACUGUAUGGUCCCUAUAUGUACUUUUCUUGUUUCAUCGCGAUCUUUAGCCAUCCUACAGAAAAAUUGUCAAUUUUCAAUGAUUUUCUUUUGCCAAAGAUAACGAACCGUUUUCCAUUAUCAGUGGGAAAUAUUUUGAUGGGAUUCUUAUGGCAAUAAGAUGCUGAAAAAAUACAUCUACUUGGGAGGCAUUUGAAAUUUUUUUUAUUCGAAUUCAGAACUGAUUCGAUAUAGACACUUUAGCAUGUGUAUUAUUUACGGCGACUGGAUACUAUAAUGAAGUAAUUCAUGAAUAUACGUGCGUAGUGUAUUAAAGUUUUUUGUAAAAACUAGCGAGAAUAUAAGUAUUAUGAAAAAUUCUUGUUAGUCAGUAAUUUUUGUCUCAGGUUUUUUUCUAUGUAAUUUUCCUCGCGUAUUCAAGAAAUAUGUUUAAAACAAAUUUUUAAAUCCGCAUUUCAUCAAACUCAAAAACGCGAAUAUGCAAAGUUAUUGCAAUGAGAAAUCCGCGGGUAAUGAGACCUGUGUAUACAGGCUGUUAAAAAAAAAAAUGAGAGCGAAAAUGCUAGGAAGAGACAGAAAAGUGUCAUAACAGUGCCAGUCCUAUGUACAGGUAGUAUAAAAUGAACAAAAAGCCCGCGACCCUUGUUCCGGUUGGUGGUUUUACGAAAUUCAUCAAGUUCAACCCUUAUGCGUAAGGAUUUCCAGAAACAGCCCCUAAUCCGUCCUCAUUCUUGUGCAAUACCGUGGCGUUCUCCUUAGGGUGCUCUCCUCCUCCUUCCCCCAUUCCGCUAUUUUCUCGACUGUAAAACUUUUUCGAUUAGCCGCUUCCCCCACGUAUCUUUAAAAGGUCCUGACCCAGUGGCCUCACCUGACUCCUUCGUUCUCUCCCAUAUGCUAUACCGGAUAUCUCCCAUAUACUAUACUUUUCUGUUGCCACUAAUACUAUAUUGCAAGAUACUGUUUGCUGUUGUGAUUCUUACUUUCAUAAUCGCUGACGAGUCUGGUAUCUUGAUUUGUCAGUAUAAAUUAAUUUUUUUUUUUUCCGUUAAAAUGGUUUGUUUUUCAGAUACUCAGAAUUGUAAAAAAAAUUAUUACCGAAAUGUCCUCGUUCCGUCUGGUAAUAAAUUGAAAAUUUAUUACUUCUCCAUAUCAGAACCGUGUAGAUAUAGACUGCUCAUAGAAUUCUAUUUAUAUUUCAUUUCACCUGACUGCCUCUUCACAAUUUCGAUACGGUCGCACGGAGCGAGUGUUGGGAAUGUGGAAAAAAAAAGUAAGGGUGAUAAAAGUUUUGUGAAAUACCCUGUAUUCAAUGUGGCGGAGAGCUUAGAAAAUUUUAUUAUUUUAUUGCUCUCUCUCUCUCUCUCACACUUUUUUUCAAUUUUUUUUUCUUACCGUAUCUUUUCGUGGUAUCAUAUAGAAUACCGUAAACCUUUAUUACACCGCUGUCGGAAUAGAGUUGAAGGAUGAGAGAUCAAGAGAAAGAUAAAAGUGAGGGAGAAAGUAUGGGAAUGUUAUAUAAGUUUUGGUCGAAAGUUUUAGAAAAAAAUUUGUGAAUUUGUCAAAAAAAAUUUGCUUAGAGUACGUAAUGGAGGAUGGAGGAGAUAAAUGAUGAGUGAAUAAAAGAUAGUAAAGAAGGAAGAAGAAAAAAGUAAAACGAUGAAAUCAUCCAGGAAUUCUAUA